CGUAGCGACUGCGGAGACAUUAUCGAGUUUUGAAAGUGAGGCUUGAUGCUGGCGCGGAAACGUGCAUGUGCUCGGCCUUACGCUCAUUCCACUCAACACCUGUGCACUUAUCGAAGUUAGUAGUCGUUCCUCCUUUACUUGGAGCCGUCGAGAGUCCGCGAGUAGUUUACUUUAAAAAGUUGCGAAAGCUUUCACUUUGACUGGGAGCGGUGAACACAUCGACUUUAUUAUAAACCUUUAAUUGUCUUGUAGAAUGUAAUGCUCCUUGUGGGCGAAAUGAAAUAUAACUUUCAACAACGGAUCUCUUGGCUCUCGCAUCGAUGAAGAACGCAGCGAAAUGCGAUAAGUAAUGUGAAUUGCAGAAUUCAGUGAAUCAUCGAAUCUUUGAACGCACCUUGCGCCCUUUGGUAUUCCGAAGGGCAUGCCUGUUUGAGUGUCAUGUUAAUCUCAAUCCCCUCGUUUCUUAAUUGAAGCUUUGAGGAUUGGACUUGGAGGUUAUUGCCGGCCCCCCCUUUUGUGGUCGGCUCCUCUUAAAUGCAUUAGCUGGACUUUGGUUCGCAUGAAGGUGUAAUAGUUUAUUCGCCUAGUGCUUGCCUAACGGGUCUGCUUCUAAUCGUCUUCGGACAAGGAUUAAGUUCCUUCUUGACUCUUUGACCUCAAAUCAGGUAGGACUACCCGCUGAACUUAAGCUUUA
rnacentral:rRNA from 1 species